rnacentral:rRNA from 1 species
AUUUACUUCGGUAAAGAGGGGCGGACGGUUGAGUGAGGCAUGGGUAACGGACCCUGUCAACACGGAUAACAUACCGAAAGGUAUGCUAAUACGGGAUAAUAUAUUUGAGAGGCAUCUCUUGAAUAUCAAAGGGGAGCCAGUACAGGAUGGACCCGCGUCUGAUUAGCUAGUUGGUAAGGGAACGGCUUACCAAGGCGACGAUCAGUAGCCGACCUGAGGGGGUGAUCGGCCACAUUGGAACUGAGACACUGUCCAAACUCCUACGGGCAGCCGCACACGGGAAUAUUGCACAAUGGACGAAAGCCUGAUUAAGCAACGCCCCGUGAGUGGUGAAGGCCGUCGGGUCGUAAAACUCUGUCCUCAAGGAAGAUAAUGACGGGACUUGAGGGGGAAGCCCCGGC